ensembl:lncRNA
GUCCCUGUAAUGGCGCAUAGUUAGGCGCAGGAUGAUAUUGCUAUUCAGACGUUGUAGAUCUGGCAGGUGUCAGGAGCGUCUAAUGCCGCGUUCAAAUCAACUGGAAACUAGGAAAUCUCUGAAUACAGUGCGUUCAAGACAGUGAUAAAUCGUUUUGAACGGUCAUCCAACUCGGAAGCCGGCUAAUAGCGAACCGUAACUUUUAUUCCAUUGAAAUAGCAAGUAAUUUACACUAAUAAAACUUUUCUCAAGUGACUAGAUUUCGUACAAACAGCAAUGGAGGCGGAAGAAAUGGUGACUAAAAUCCACAGAAAAGAAUUGCGCAAGCAGAAGUUGAUGGAGUACUUAGCAGUCAAGGGAAAACUGAAGCCCCCCAACCCAAAACCUUAUCUCCGUGAUGACAUUAAAGCAGAGAGAAGCAGCAUGUCUGCAGUGAAGGAUGACAACAGCCUCAGUUUGUUGGGGCAUGGCCUCUACAAGGUGUUGAAAGCGUUCCACAGGGAUGCUGGCCCAUGUUGACGACAAUGCUUCCCACAGUUGUGUCAAGUUGGCUGGAUGUCCUUUGGGUGGUGGACCAUUCUUGAUACACAUGGGAAACUGUUAAUUGUGUUAAACCCAGCAGUGUUGCAGAUCUUGACACUCAAACCGGUGCGACUGGCACCUACUACCAUGAGGCAUUUCAAUAUUUUGUAUUUCCCAUUCACCCUCUGAAUGGCACGCAUGCACAAUGUCUCAAGGCUUAAAAAUCCUUCUUUAACCUGUCUUCUCCCCUUCAUCUACAAUGAUAGAAGUGGAUUUAACAGGUUUCAUCAAGAGGGGAUCAUAUCUUUCAUCUGGAUGCACCUAGUCAGUCUAUGUCAUGGAAAGAACAGAUGUUCCUAAUGUUUUGUACACUCAGUGUGCAACUCUUUAUUUGUAUAGUCUACAGUUUACUCGCCGUAAUUCAGCACCUCUACCAACUUUUUUUGUGUAUGCCCCAGCUCAUGCUUUUCACUUGUCACCCUGCCCACAUGAAAAUAGUGCCAGCCAGACCACACUCCACUCUCCCUACAAAAACAUGCCCAGGCACCACCAACCACCCCAGAACUGAGCCCAACCCAGCUGUUAAAGCUAGCAAUGCAUGCCCUAACUUUGCCAAACUUCUGGCCAACACUGUUAGGACAUAUUCUGCCAACACAACCAGACCACUGCCAAACACUACUGGGAAACACACCAACAAUACCAAUACAUCGAGCACACACUCCAAUACAGCCAGCACCCGCCCCAGCACAUCUAGCAGUGUGAGAAUGAGUCUUAGUACAGCGGCUAAAACCAAGACAGGCCUCAUGUCUGCUCAGGUGCAGCCUAGAAAUACAUACCCCAUAGCCACCAUCCCUGCACCUGAUGCAACCCCCACCACCACCUUUGUCUUAAACAGAGUUUGCCCAAGCACAAUCCCAGUGGCUCAGAGGCCAGUUGUGGGGGCCACUCAGGGGAGAAUUAAUUGAGUCACUACCGUGAGUAAAACAUAACCAGAGGACAGAUGCCUCGGCUGUGGACAAUGGGCAAAGGAGGAGCCAAGCUCUCAGCAGAAUUGACUCUAAACCACUUCCAGGGAGAACCAGUAAACCAGCAGGGCUGAGGCAACCUGUCACUGGGCCUAAACCAACCAUCCAAAGCCCUACUGGUCUACCUGGAUCCAAGACUGCAGCUAUGAAGCCAGGGGAGAAAGGGAAAAACGCAGCCAGAGAUUCGAUCCAAGUGGUUGAGCCUGUGAAGAGGGCUCCACCAAAGCACAGGUUAGAGGAGCCGGAGGGGCCACCACUCGGACAUGUAAGCCUGCCUCUCAAGCCUCCGCCGGGAUAACAGGGAACCAAAGGCAGGCCAAGGCUCUGAGUAGGGCCAUGCAUGCAGCUGUGGCUAAGAUGGGAGUGCCAGACGUGUCCCCCUGCUUAAGCCAGUACAUGUCCAGGCCCGUCUGAAGUUUGCUAGAGAGCAUUUGGAUGAUCCAGAAGAAGAUUGGGAGAAUGUCAUAUGGUCAGAUGAAACCAAAAUAUAACUUUUUGGUAAAAACUCAACUCGUCGUGUUUGGAGGACAAAGAAUGCUGAGUUGCAUCCAAAGAACACCAUACCUACUGUGGAGCAUGGGGGUGGAAACAUCAUGCUUUGGGGCUGUUUUUCUGCAAAGGGACCAGGACGACUGAUCCGUGUAAAGGAAAGAAUGAAUGGGCCAUGUAUCAUGAGAUUUUGAGUGAAAACCUCCUUCCAUCAGCAAGGGCAUUGAAAAUAAAACGUGGCUGGGUCUUUCAGCAUGACGAUGAUCCCAAACACACCGCCCGGGCAACGAAGGAGUGGCUUCGUAAGAAGCAUUUCAAGCUCCUGGAGUGGCCUAGUCAGUCUCCAGAUCUCAACCCCAUAGAAAAUCUUUGAAAGUCCGUGUUUCCCAGCAACAGCCCCAAAACAUCACUGCUCUAGAGGAGAUCUGCAUGGAGGAAUGGGCCAAAAUACCAGCAGUAGUGUGUGAAAACCUUGUGAAGACUUACAGAAAACGUUUGAACUCUGUCAUUGCCAACAAAGGCUAUAUAACAAAGUAUUGAGAUAAACUUUUGUUAUUGACCAAAUACUUAUUUUCCACCAUAAUUUGCAAAUAAAUUCAUUAAAAA